rnacentral:rRNA from 1 species
GAUGAACGCUAGCGGCAGGCUUAAUACAUGCAAGUCGAGGGGUAACAGGGGUAGCAAUACCUGCUGACGACCGGCAAACGGGUGAGUAAUACAUCGGAACGUGCCCGAUCGUGGGGGAUAACGGAGCGAAAGCUUUGCUAAUACCGCAUACGAUCUACGGAUGAAAGCAGGGGACCGCAAGGCCUUGCGCGGACGGAGCGGCCGAUGGCAGAUUAGGUAGUUGGUGGGAUAAAAGCUUACCAAGCCGACGAUCUGUAGCUGGUCUGAGAGGACGACCAGCCACACUGGGACUGAGACACGGCCCAGACUCCUACGGGAGGCAGCAGUGGGGAAUUUUGGACAAUGGGCGCAAGCCUGAUCCAGCCAUGCCGCGUGCAGGAUGAAGGCCUCGGUUGUAAACUGCUUUGUACGUACGAAAGAACACUUCUAAUAAAGAAGGUCAUGACGUACCGUAAGAAGUAAGACAACCGGCUAACUACGUAGCCAGCAGCCGCGGUAAU